UACGAAGGGGGCGAGCGUUGUUCGGAUUUACUGGGCGUAAAGGGCGCGUAGGCGGCCCUUCAAGUCAGGCGUGAAAGCCCCGGGCUCAACCUGGGAGGUGCGCUUGGGACUGGAGGGCUGGAGUUCGGGAGAGGAGCGUGGAAUUCCCAGUGUAGAGGUGAAAUUCGUAGAUAUUGGGAAGAACACCGGUGGCGAAGGCGGCAUCCUGGACCGGUAUUGACGCUGAGGCGCGAAAGCGAGGGGAGCAAACAGG
rnacentral:rRNA from 1 species